rnacentral:rRNA from 1 species
GACAGAGGCCUCAAGCGUUAGGCGGAAUCACUGGGCUUAAAGCGUGUGUAGGCGGAUCGUUAAGUGCCUUGUGAAAUCCCACGGCUUAACUGUGGAACGGCUGGGCAUACUGGCGGUCUUGAGCCAUCUAGGGGCGACUGGAACAAACGGUGGAGCGGUGAAAUGCGUAGAUAUCAAGAGGAACACCUGCGGCGAAGGCGGGUUGCUGGGCCGACACUGACGCUGAUGCGCGAAAGCUAGGGGAGCGAACGGG